GACGAACGCUGGCGGCGUGCUUAACACAUGCAAGUCGAGCGGUAAGGCCCUUUCGGGGUACACGAGCGGCGAACGGGUGAGUAACACGUGGGUGACCUGCCCUCAGCUCUGGGAGUAAGCCUGGGAAACCGGGUCUAAUACUGGAUAUGACUCCAUGACGCAUGUUGUGGGGUGGAAAGCCUUGUGCGGCUGAGGAUGGGCCCGCGGCCUAUCAGCUUGUUGGUGGGGUGAUGGCCUACCAAGGCGACGACGGUAGCCGGCCUGAGAGGCGACCGGCCACACUGGGACUGAGACACGGCCCAGACUCCUACGGGAGGGCAGCAGUGGGGAAUCUUGCGCAAUGGGCGAAAGCCUGACGCAGCGACGCCGCGUG
rnacentral:rRNA from 1 species